GUGGUACCGUGGUCCUCCUCGCGCCCUCUCUACUUUACCCCGGGAGCGCCACAACCACUCCAUCCCCUCGAACCCUAGAGCUCUCCUCUUCCUCCCCCAUCCUCGCGCCGCCAACCCUCUCCCCUUUAUUUUUUUCUGUGAACAAAACGAGGAAGAAAACCCACACCACCGCCUCCACCUCGCCAUGGCGCCGCCGCUACCGGCCGCCCCUCGACGAACCGAAGCCACCAGAAGAACCGCCUCGUCGUCCUCGUCUUCCCCCUGCAAGGAAUCGAGCCGCGGCUCUUCCAAUCGACGGCAGUUUCGCCGAUACCUUCUCCGAGCCCGGCGGUAAAAGCUUCGAUGCCGGCCGCCAUACGCCUCCUCCGGCCGCGCGGAGCACUCCUGCACGUUCCUGGAGCUCACCGCCGGCGAUGCUCCGGUGACCCCCUGGACCCAUCACCGCCACCAUCUGCUUCGCCAUGUUCAGGCGCAUCUCCGACACCAUCUUCUCGGUCCUGGUUCGCCUUGAAUCGGCGGAUCAGUUCGCGACUUGAUCUUCCACCAUGGCUGCAGUUGUUCAUGUGCGUCCGCUUCAUGAAUUGGUUCAAAACGCCACGCACCACAUUUCGUUCACAAACGCACUACCAACCCAGUGAUCCGGCGCUGAUGGGCCUUGACCCAGAUCCUCCGGCGUAGCCCGUUUCUCCGUGCGCCCAGCUCUUGUUCGUCGCCACCAGCAGUCCAGAUCGGGUCCUGGACAGUGCAGGAUCACGAAGUGGUGAUGUGAGAUACGACGAGUUCUUCGACAAGUGCUUCUGCAGCUUUUCACAAGCGAGUCCUCUCUCUUCACCUAUUUUACAUUUUGCUCCCCCUCGCACUGCUAUACAUAGGUUGCGCUUCUUUAUCGAGUCACCUGUCCUAUUCCACUUGUUUACCAUGAUAAUCCUAUAUGUAUCAUUCCUUACCCAUAGCCGUUGUUUGAUGUUUGAGCCUUGCGAGUCAUAGGCCUGUUUAGGCUCUGUUGUUUAUCUCGAUCUGUUAUCGGGAUAUGUUGGGUUGUUGGGAGGUUAUCACAUUCUCUAUCAGUUGUUGGAGAUACACAUGCUUUACUUAUUUGUUAACAACUAAAAUUGUAAGCAGAGGCAUCUGUGAGCCCCUUUGCGAAAGCAUCGGAACUUUGACUCGCUAAUGUCCCCUAGGACCCGAGUUCUUGUUAUCUGUUCCGAGAUUGAGCGCUCUACUCGUACAUGGUGACGAUUAUCGGGACCCCCCUCACCCAUUACCUUUUCUCAAGUCAGUUGAAAAUGGGGCCACAACCUUGGUUUUAUUUGCCUAUGCCAUGUAUGCCAUGCUUUACUUACUAUUUCCUUCGGGUGUUUACUUCCUGUUGCCUUCGGGUGUUUAUAUUCUGUAUUGUACCCCGCGGGACGUUUAGCAAAGCGUGUGGUUCGCACGCCUAGCCGCCGUCGCAAACCCUGAGUUCGCUUCAGAGUACGGCCGGACUUCGUUACGGGUAGCUUAGUCGGGUGUCCCCCCUAGACUUUCUUGUUGAACUGGGAACGGUCUUGUUGUGAGACAUCCACCUGUCGUAAGUGGGUCGAGCAUGCUUAUGGUUACAUUUGGGCAACCCCUACAGGGUGUACAUCUUAUCGAUAAGCCAUGUCCGCGGUUAUGGACGACUUGGAAUUGUAUAACUUGAUCAUAGAACAACUUACACUGUUAUCUUGUUGCUAAUAAUCUGAUAAUAACUUGCGUAGUAAUAUAGCAUUACUACAACCAACAUAUAAUAAAAUUGUCAAUCGUGGAGUGCCUUUUACAUUGCUUCUUUGCUUUGUUGAAGGGGAUAUGUGUAAUCGGCUGGGUUAUGUUUGUGUAGUAUUUUACCUGUUACCUUAUGCGCUCUCUUAUCUUCUCCGAUUAGACGGAUGUUGUAGCGUGUCUCUAUUGGUUAUAGUUUUGCUGCCGCUAAACCUACCAUAUAGCCCCAGGCGAUAUAUUCGCCCGGCGAGCAUAGCCAUUUCUAGUUUCGCUAAGUACGUGCCGGAGUUCGUUCCUUGGUACUUACUCUCGCCUUUUCCUUUUCUCUUCUGUUUCCUCCCUUUUGUCGGCAACCGAUGGCCCGACUUUGACAGGUACAAGAUGACGACGUUAGCAAGGUUACCCUUCCGGCUUGGCCUGGGCAGGGUUAUGGACGCCAUCGUUUAUCUUCAGGACUCUUAGUCCAAUUUGUAUCUUGUCCGUACUCGGACAUAUUCGAUCUUCUGUAUGAUUUGGAUCUUUGUAUUGUAUAUUUGUAUCUUGACUCGUUGGAGUCUUUGUUGUAAUAUAUGUAUCUUGUGGGCUCUAUUGUAAACCUGUUGUAAUGUUACUACUCGUGGUAAUUACUCUGGCAUCACGUGUGUGAUGUCGUGCA